CAACAGAGGGAAGAGGGUAAAGCUACUUUGGGGAGCAGAGGAGGCUAGAAAGAAGGUAAACAGUAAAGACAGACAAGCAAGACAGCAGCGGUGGAAAGGGAAGAGAGAAGGCCUUGGUACAGAGGAGGAUUUUCUAUCUAUGAAGAAAAGAGAACAAUAGUGCUUGCCAGCUGAUGAUGUCCAGGCCCAGAAACAGCACACCACACAGCACUUGACUCCUUCCAAAUGCCCAUAGGGCCUGGUGUUUGGGUGAGGUGUCCACACGAAAGAAGACAUGUGACCAGAUCUAUGCAGUGACUCCAACCAGGAGCAGAAAAUGGAAAUGCUGAUGUGAUAGCGGCCGUGACCACUCCUUGUUGGGAUGCACUCAGGUCACACGGAAGCCACUUCCAGUCUCCCAACUUGCCCUGAAGAAGUGACAGUAAACCAUUUGUGAUGUCAGAGAUAAACUUCUCUAUUUGCCUUAUGAAAGCAGAAGUGGAAAAAUGAAAGAGAAGACAUGUUAACAAUGACCCUGGAAAAAGUACCACCAAUAGUCUCAUUUGCCGAAAGCUAUGGGAUUGCAACAGCAAAACCUUUCUUGGAACAUACCAAUCAUUGUCACUCCAUUAAGAAAAGGAGUAAAGCCAGAUGCUAAAGUAAGUCUCUGGAAGUCGGCUUUAACUGGCACAAUGUGAUCUGGUACGAAGAUACUGGAGUGACAGCAAGGAUACUGGCUUUUCUUGCUCCAGGCAAGAAGAGGACAAUGUCUGCAGAUGUUUAAUGAGACAGUAGAAAUACCAAUUUCAAAUCAGAGAUCAUGUGAAUGGCAAACUCUUACUCAAUUCAUUGUGAAUUUGAAAUGAGGAGUCACUUGGCCAUAGAUUAAAUACACGCCAUCCUGAAGUAUCUCCAGCUUCCCGUCAGAUGUCAUAUUUACACAAAAAGGCUGAGGAGAUGUCAUGUGCCACUUUGAAGGUGAUAGUUCUAUAAGAAAUUGAAAAAUGAAGGGUAAAAAAGAAAUCAUGUUUAUAUUAUGAUUUCAUCUUCUAUCUGGUUGUAGUACAUUCUUUACUACCUACAGAUGGAUUCUUAACCUGGUCACAUUAGUUUUCUCAGACCAUAUUUUCAACAUAUUGUGAAAUCCUCAUGGCUCUGUGGCUCUUCUUGGGUGGUAUGAAUGAAAAAGGGAGGGAGAGGAGAGAGGAAUCACACAGCAAGACUAGAGUAAGGACUUCCCAUAUGAAUAGUAUUUAUUCUGGGGUGGUUUACUAAUGACACAUUCCCUAAUCAAUCUACACUCAAAGUUGCUCUCCUGUGACUCCCUUGCUCUAUACUGCUUUAAUUUUCUUCAUAGAAAGUAUUAGCAAGAAGCAUAUUAUAAAUUAAUUUGGCAAUUUUUUCUACUGUCUUAUAUCCACUUAAAUAUGACAUUUCUAUUUUUCCAAUUUCUAUAUUCCCACCACCUAAGUAAGUUUCUAGAAUUGUGUGUGCUCAACAAACUUUUACGUCUUGCUGCAUUUCCCAGUCUGGGCUCAAAGUGAUGAGUUCAAGUGAUCUUCCCAUCUCGGCAUCAGUAAAUAUCUCUAAACUGGUGGACAGGCCUGUUUUUCUGAAUCUGAUGCUUUGUGUCUACAAUAUAUUUCUUCAUAUUACUUUCAACACCACAUACCAUUAUCUAGCUUACUUCCAAAUGUCCACUGGUUCCUUGCUGACUUUAUAACUUGAAAUAAAUGUAUUUAAUUAAAUAUAGCUAUCCCUAGUCUGAUACUGCCACAUUGGAGAUGGGUAAUGUAUCCAAAUUUAAUCUUUCCUUUUUUAUGUACUACAUAUUUCCCUAAUGAUAGCAGUUUCAUACAGCCAUGUAACUUCAAAGCCCCAAGAGAUGCUUUUAGAGGUUCAAAGUUCUUGUCUGGCCUUUUCUCUAAUUCUUGAUAACUUUGGUUAUAGAGUCUAAAGGCCUGAAAGAAGUAACACCGACUUAAAUUCUCAUUCAUACAGAAACAGCUAGGAGAAGACUUGGAGGUAGAUGCUGGAGGAGAAGGAAGGAUUGACCACUAGAGCAAAAAGCAAAGACUGCAUCGCCAGUGAAUUCUAUUUCUCUUCAUUGGCAUGCAGUAGACAGGGAUCCAGGAACAAGUAUAGUUUUUUUUACCUAUUUAACUCAAUGGGAAUUUUUUAAAAGACACCUUAGCAUCAUUUUUAUCAUAUUAAGGAGAAAUUUAAAGCAUUCCUUUCAUGGGCAAAAACAAAACACAAAAUCAGGGACACAUUCAAAGAAUGCCCUAACUUCUAAAAACCAAGGUAUUUUGAAAACCUGGAGCAAAAGAUGGAAGAGUGAAAAACUGAAUUAUAGAAAUUGUCUACUCUCAAAUGAAAAUGUGGCUUUUGGCCAUACAAACAAUCAAAAAAUGUGUAUGCUGGAUAUUUUGAAUAUUUUCUAAGGAAUAUUCUGAGAAUCAAUGUGAUAGUUAGCUUUACUUCUCAACUUGACAUAGCCUAGAGUCGGUCAGGAAGGGAGUCUAAGUGAAAACUGUCUAUACUGAGUUCGUCUAUAGGGGCUUGUUUUAAUUAAGUUGAUAGAUGUGGGAAAAUACAGCCCACUACAGUUGGUGCCCUUCCCUAGGCAAGAUGUUCUGAACUAUGAGAAAGUAGAGAAAUGGAACUGAGCAUAAGAAAGCAAGCAAGUAAGCAAGUGAGCAUUUCAUUUCUCUCUGCUCUUGACUGUGAAUGUGGCUCGAUGCUUCAAGCCCCUGCUGUUGUGAUUACUGGGCAAUGAUGGACGAUAAUCUGCACUUGUGAGCUAAAAUAAAUCCUUUUCCUUCUAA